AUGCAAUAUUGUCUUUGCUCCCAAUCUUCAUUAACCUUCUCCAACGCAACACCAAUUUGCGCACAUAUCAUUGCAUCAACAAAUGCUCCUUCUUCGAAAAUAUUCGACGAAUUUGCAAACAUCUCGCAUCACGCGCAAAAAGUAAGAAAUUGUGUAGAAUCAGAAAAGAGAAGAAGAGAGAUGUUUGAAAGUGACGGGGCAUACCUGAAAGACCUCUGGUUUUCCGUUUGA